AGCUAAUAGAUACCCGGGUAGUCCACGCCCUAAACGAUGUCUACUAGUUGUUGGUGGAGUAAAAUCCAUGAGUAAACGCAGCUAAACGCGUGAAGUAGACCGCCUGGGGAGUACGGUCGCAAGAUUAAAACUCAAAGGAAUUGACAGGGGGCCCGCACAAGCGGUGGAUUAUGUGGAUUAAUUCGAUGCAACGCGAAAACCUUACCUGGCCUUGACAUGCCACUAACGAAGCAGAGAUGCAUUAGGUGCCCGUAAGGGAAAGUGGACACAGGUGCUGCAUGGCUGUCGUCAGCUCGUGUCGUGAGAUGUUGGGUUAAGUCCCGCAACGAGCGCAACCCUUGCCAUUAAUUGCCAUCAUUUAGUUGGGCACUUUAAUGGGACUGCCGGUGACAAACCGGAGGAAGGUGGGGAUGACGUCAAGUCCUCAUGGCCCUUAUGGCCAGGGCUUCACACGUAAUACAAUGGUCGGUACAGAGAGUUGCCAACCCGCAGGGGAGCUAAUCUCAGAAAGCCGAUCGUAGUCCGGAUUGUUCU
rnacentral:rRNA from 1 species